rnacentral:rRNA from 1 species
UACGAAGGUGGCAAGCGUUACUCGGAAUUACUAGGCGUAAAGGGCAGGUAGGUGGUUUGGUAAGUCUAUUGUGAAAGCUCCUGGCUUAACUGGGAGAGGUCAAUGGAUACUACCGGACUUGAGUAUGGGAGAGGUUACUGGAAUUCCCGGUGUAGCGGUGAAAUGCGCAGAGAUCGGGAGGAACACCAAUGGCGAAAGCAGGUAACUGGACCAUUACUGACACUCAACUGCGAAAGCUAGGGGAGCAAACAGG